GAUGGGGAGUUGCCGGAAUAUGAUAGUGAUGUGCAAAAUAUGUUGGACCUCUUCAUCACAAGCGAACAGGGCCACCUAGUCCAGCACGAGCAUGGUGAUGAGAUGCUUGGCCUACUGGGAGCCACUACCAACAUGGGCAACACUGACGAUGCCAACGCUGCUGUUGCAGACAAAUGCAACAAUAACGAUGGAGACCAACAUUGAGCAGAGAAUGGUGACAAGGCGUGCAAAUUAUAACCGUCUCCGUGGAGAACAAAUCCAACAACUUGAAGCGUACAAUACAUACUCAAUCAAUGUUUCUUACCUAUCGAAAAAGAUGUGUACUAAUCCAUUUUCAUUAACGUGAUAUGUAGUGUGUUCCAGGAAAGCCCUUAUCCAGAUGCUAAACUCCGGAAAGACCUUAGCGAGAGGCUUGGCAUGAGUGCCCCGCAGGUCAAGUUUUGGUUCCAAAACAAACGCUCCUCCAGCAAGGGCAAGAGGCAACUAAAGGAUACCAAGAAUCUUCAGGGAGAGAACCAGAUGCUAAAAGAUGAAAACCAAGCCAUCAAGUGGGUCACUGAAAACAAGACAUGCCUCAAAUGCGCAGGGGUGAUGCUAAAAACUCAGGAUACCUCGGAGCACCAACGCCUGUGUAUAGAGAAUAUGAGGCUCAAGGAAGAACUCCGACGUGCCACCGCCUAUCUUAAAGAGGGUCUCUACCGUAAUGGCAUAUGGCCCCAAUUUACCCGCGACUAAGCACAACGUCUUCUGUGUUAGUCAACGUCACAUGAAUCCAAGUUUCGCUUUAUUCCUUUGCUAUCAAAUAACGCGCCAUGUUGUGUGUUUAUGUACACGACCUGGCUGCUGGUUUAUUUCUUUAUGUAGACUAUUGUGGUUGCUAUAUGGGAUGGCAUGAGACGUAGCGAUUGCGGCAGCAAUGUUGGGGUUGUGGAGCGAGUGGCUUUGGGAUGGCAUUGCCAUGAAGCUCUGUCCAGCUCAUGUAUUUCUCCGUUCCUAUUUGUAGCCGAACGGCUCAAGUAGUGGCCAAAUGAAUAGACAAGCAAAAACAAAAAAUGUGCUAGUUGAAUGCCGCACAAGAAUUUUGUGUGUCUUGUAACA